rnacentral:lncRNA from 1 species
AUUAAUAACCACUCAACCAGUCUCUCUUUCUCCUUAUCCCACUAAUCUUGAAGCACUAUUGGCUACUUUCUAUAAUGUUUUCACUAAACUGCAUGAGAUUCCGUCACCUUAAUCGCAGGAUCUCUUGGCUACUUUCUAUGAUGUUUUCACUAAACUGUAUGGGAUUCCGUCACCUUAAUCGUAGGAUCAUGCCAUUCCCCUUUUCCCAUAAUCUUCUUCAAUUUAGGUCCGAC